CUUUUCAUACCUUACUAUAGAAAUUCUUAAUAUUAAAAAUAAUUCAAUACCAGUUCACACAGUAAUCCUACUAAAACGAAAAAACUUCUAUACUCUUAUAAUGCAUUAAGAAUAUGCAAUCAUUCUAUAUAUGGUGUAAUAGGGGUCAGCAAAACUAUGCCAGCCACACAAAAGAAAACACCAAAAAUAUAAAUAUAGGUAAUAGUCUUACUAUACUAGCAUUGAUCAUGAUCUCCCUGAAUUCUGUUGCUCGAUGGUUUGCCGACUUGUAAACAAUCAAUUGGAGGUAGAGUAGGAGUAUACAACUCUCCGAACGUCUGCCAACAAUAUGGAUCAUACAUGUGGUAACGCUCUUGUAUUGGCUUUAAUUGGAUAUCCGUCAACGUCACGUCUUGGCAUGGCAUACUGUCACUGCAUGCUAGAUGCACUGGUUUUAAUUGGAUAUCCGUCAAGGUCACGUCUUGGCAUGGCAUACUGUCACUGCAUGCUAGAUGCACUGGUUUUACUGUAUAUGUUCCUCUAAUUCUUUCAAAGUUGAUUCCUGAUAAAGCCA
rnacentral:lncRNA from 1 species